GACGUAGGAUGCGAGCGUUGUUCGGAUUUAUUGGGCGUAAAGCGUACGUAGGCGGCUGUCUAAGUCUGGUGUUAAAGCUAGGGGCUCAACCCCUGUGAUGCACUGGAAACUGGGCGGCUUGAGAGCGGUAGGGGAAGGUGGAAUUCCGAGUGUAGCGGUGAAAUGCGUAGAUAUCUGGAGGAACACCGGUGGCGAAGGCGGCAUCCUGGACCGGUAUUGACGCUGAGGCGCGAAAGCUAGGGGAGCAAACGGG
rnacentral:rRNA from 1 species